UACGUAGGGGGCUAGCGUUGUCCGGAAUCAUUGGGCGUAAAGCGCACGUAGGCGGAUUUGUAAGUCAGGGGUGAAAUCCCGGGGCUCAACCUCGGAACUGCCUUUGAUACUGCAAGUCUUGAGUCCGAUAGAGGUGAGUGGAAUUCCUAGUGUAGAGGUGAAAUUCGUAGAUAUUAGGAAGAACACCAGUGGCGAAGGCGGCUCACUGGAUCGGUACUGACGCUGAGGUGCGAAAGCGUGGGGAGCAAACAGG
rnacentral:rRNA from 1 species